AAUAGAAGCAUAGGUGGGAAUAAAAACAAUACCUUCUCACCAAAACUCAUCUGUUAUGAAUUUGUAUAGUGCAGAUGGAGCGCUGCUGCCUUCAACAUUGUCAGGUGGUGGAAGGAAUAUAUUAUAUUAUAUUGGAAUAUUAUCAGUCAUGGAUUGGCCUCCCCAGAGCCCAGACCUCUGAAAUGUUGAAGCAGUGUGUGAUCAUCUUGACAGAGGAUGCAAGAAAAGGCAACAACAUCCAAAGAAGAGUUUACUGGAGAAAUAUUCCUGAACACUGCUUAAAGAAAUGAUGUUUUUCCAAACAAAAUAUAAAGCGGUAAAGUUUUAAAAGAGAAUAAAGCACAUCAGUGACAAGCAAGCUCCUAGAAGACUUCACACAAACAGAAUUCAUACUCAGUUGGGAUUAAAGACAUUCCUAAGACAUUCCGAAGUUUGGGAAAGACUGGAUUAGCACACAGAGUUAAAGGAUUAUGUAGAAGGACUGCCUUAAAAAAUUCUUUAGAUGUUUUCAGAGUUUUUACCACCACAAAACUGGACUGUCACAGGGUUAAUGUAUGGCUCCAAUUAGCAGCUUAUGUAAAGGCGAAGCUGCUUCAACAUCCUCCUUUCAUUGACUCACACUGUAGAAACCAUUAAAAAAACAUGCCACAGAGAAAAGACUUGAUCUGAGAA